rnacentral:lncRNA from 1 species
GGAUGUUGUAUGAUAGAAGAAUUGAAUUACACAACAACUUACUAUUGAAGGAUAAUUUUGAUAUUUUUAUUAAAUUUUAUCUCUUCCGAAUAGUCAUGACAUGUUGGUAGACAUCAAUCUUGACUUGUGUAGUCUCGUAAGAAUUAAAGAAGUUUAAUUCAAAAAUUAAUUAAAAAAUAUUAUGAUUAAUUAGCUCAAUUGGGCUGAUCUAAUC